AUUGAACGCUGGCGGCAGGCCUAACACAUGCAAGUCGAGCGAGCGGCGGACGGGUGAGUAAUGACUGGGAAACUGCCUGAUGGAGGGGGAUAACUACUGGAAACGGUAGCUAAUACCGCAUACCAUCAGAUGUGCCCAGAUGGGCUUAGCUAGUAGGUGGGGUAACGGCUCACCUAGGCGACGAUCCCUAGCUGGUCUGCGAGGAUGACCAGCCAAAGGGGAACUGAGACAGGGUACAGACGCCUACGUGAGGCAGCAGUGGGGAAUAUUGCACAAUGGGCGCAAGCCGGAUGCAGCCAUGCCGCGUGUGUGAAGAAGGCCGUCGGGUUGUAAAGCACUUUCAGCGGGGAGGCGUUACCCGCAGAAGAAGCACCGGCUAACUCCGUGCCAGCAGCCGCGGUAAUA
rnacentral:rRNA from 1 species